rnacentral:pre_miRNA from 1 species
UCUAAGCUACACCAUCCAUCCCAAAAUAAGUUUAUUUCUUUGACAGUCUUUCUUAUUUAUUUUUUAGUUUAGUAUUUUGAUUGUUAUUAGACGAUAAAAUAUAAAUAGUAUUUUAUGCAUGACUUAUUUUUUUAGAUUUUUUUAUAAAUUUUUAAAAUAAGACGGACGGUCAAACGUUCAACCUAGAAACCCAUAAAUGAAUUUAUU